CUUGGAUUGUGGCUCAGGGAAAUAGGUCUCAGACUCCAGCCUCAUGGACUGAGAGAGAGCACGUUUCUGUUUUCAACCACCAGGUUUGUGUUCAUUGGUUACAGUGGGCGCAGGAAGCUACUAUGUCAGAUAAAGCAGUGUACUCUGGUUAGCCUACCCUAAGUCACAUGACAAUCACUGAGCACUGACAAGUCAAUCAGGUUGUUCUUCUCAUCCUUGGAGCAUGGGCAGAGCCUUUCAAGGGCUAAGGUACUCCAAGCUCAAGAAGAGGGGGUUUUUCCCAAAGGGAAAGACAACUGGAAAAGGAUGAGGGUUGGGAGGGAGGAGGCAAAUGACAGCAGAUAUCUGCUUCCUGUUUGAAAGGAGAAGGCAGAAGUGAGUACGAAGUUAACACACACAAUGUUAAUGCACAUAAGACUUCAAACAUCAGUGCCCUGGAACUCGCUCUACGGCUCUGACGACAGCAUCUUCCCAGGGACGUACUGAGAUGCACAGAUACCACUCGCUCAGAGCAGCUUUGUUUUUAAUCCCAGUCACUUGGACUCAACAGACAUGAAUUUGAGCAAGCUCCAGGAGAUAGUGAAGGACAGGGAAGCCUGGCGAGCUGCAGUUCAUGGGGUCACAAAGAGUCAGACACAACUGAGCGACUGAACAAUAACAACUGGACUUUCUCCAGCUCUAACCUUUCUCUGUUUAGAAAACCUGGACAUAAAGAUCACACAUAUUAUUCCAAACAGUAAUUAUUGUUGGCUGUGGUAAGCAGAAUGUCCCCAUGAAGAAGUACACCCAGGUCCCUGGAUCCUGUGAACGUGUUACAAUUCAUGGCAGAAAGGACGUAGCAAAUAUAAUGAAGGUAAUGGAUCUCAAGAUAGUGUGGGUGCUGUUCUGGUAACAGGAAGUCAGAGAUUCCAAGUGUGAGAAGAUUCAAUGUCCUCUUGUUGGCUCUAAAGUUCAAAGGUUCACAUAUAAGGACUUCAAGGGGACACUAGAAAGAAAAUGAGGACUUGGUUCUAAUCUGUAAGGAACUGGAUUCUGCCAACAACCCUG
ensembl:lncRNA